GUGUGUGUGUGUGUGUGUGUGUGUGUGUGUGUGUGUUGCCUUGUCUUUCGUUGUACAGAUGCUUAUGCAGUGUGUGUGUGUGUGUGUGUGUGUGUGUGUGUGUUGCCUUGUCUUUCGUUGUACAGAUGCUUAUGCAGUGUGUGUGUGUGUGUGUGUGUGUGUGUGUGUGUGUGUGUGUGUGUGUGUGUGUGUGUGUGUUGCCUUGUCUUUCGUUGUACAGAUGCUUAUGCAGUGUGUGUGUGUGUGUGUGUGUGUGUGUGUGUGUGUGUGUGUGUGUGUGUGUGUGUGUGUGUUGCCUUGUCUUUCGUUGUAGCCUUCAGAAAAAAAAUAUUAAAGUUUUUACAGUGGGAAAAUUUUGGUGGUGAGUGAGAAAAUGACUCAAAUAUUACCUGAAAUUUAACCUGAUGUGGUGGAGCCUCACACUCCUCAGCUGCCCCUAACCAAACCUAACCUAACCCAAAGAAGCCUACCCGAACUUCUGUCUGGUGCUUCCUCCUCCCCAAGACUGGCUAUCUCGUGUCAUAAUCCCAAGCUAGCCUAACCUAACCCUACCUAACCUAACCUAAGCAAUUCUAACCUAGCCAAACCUUAUCUAAGCAAGCCUAACCUAGCCAAGCCUAACCUAACCUAAAGAAGCCUACCCUAACCUAACCUAGCCUAACCUAACCUAACCUAACCUAACCUAGCCUAACAUAACCUAAUCUCGUCUAACUUAACGAAGCAUAGCCAAACCUAACCUAACCUACAUCCUCUUCCCACGGCCCCACUUAACCAAACCUAACGUAACUUUCAGAGCAACGGCAACCCUCCAAUCCGGCAAGCAGUUGGCGGCAGCGAUGGCGGUGGCGGCAGCAGUGGUGGCGAGGCGGACGGCAGGGACAGAGGGGCAGUACAGGGUGCGGACAUCAAGGAGAAGAGGAACGCACGGACAAGCAAGGUGUUAUUCGGCAGUCUGAUCCUGGACCUGGUCGGCUUCAUGGCGGUGGUGCCUCUGUGUCCUGCUCUCCUUGACUGUUACUCCAAGCACAACACCAGCGGCUUGUAUUCCUCUCAGCUCUCCUGUGUGACUUAUUACCAACAUAUCAUCGGUUUCGCUGCGAGGUUCCAUUCUGUCUUGUUUGGCACUGAUUGGCGUGACAUUCAGCAUAGGCUUCACCGUCGGGCACACUGUGGGGCCUGCGUUCUCCCGCUGGGGAAGUACUGGGUGGUUCGCGGCCUCGGCUGUCUACGCACGCACUCUCACUGUGGCUAACAUAAUAUUCUUUGCUGUCUUCUUCCAGGAAUUGCUGCCUGAGGGCAGAAGGAGGAGGGACAUUGGUGCCAGUUUGACCGAGGCUUGGGAGGUGAUCAAUCCUAGGGCUCUGUUCUCCGUCAGCUGUGUCAAGGGCCUGGGCAGAGAAGCCUGGAGUUAACGCUGAUCUUCGCGACCCACCACAAGCAUAGUUACGACUCGUUGGCGCAGGACCGCAAGUUUUCCUUCCUGGGCCUGGUCAUGGCAAUUACACAGAGAGGGUUUAUGCGAAGUGUUAAGACUGGAACUGAAAAAGCAACUGCCAAUUAGGUGUUCUGGGUGGUUAAUGACGAUGACUCCUGCUUUCAUCCUCAUCGGGGCUAGCAAGACCAACCUGGGGCUGUACUCUGGACUGACGCUGUAUGCCAUAGGUUCCUCUUUGAUGGUGCCCUGCCUCACUGCCCUCGCCUCCUGUCACAGCACGGCCUCUCACAAGGGUACCCUGUUUGGCAUUCGGAGGUCACCAGGGGCUGUUCCAAGGGCGUUCGGACCUGUUGUGACCAAUAGGUUUGUUUGUGUUGUUCGAGAGUGUUUAGCUGUGUUUUGUGUGUUUUUUGGUGUGUUUUGAGGUGUUUUGGGGGUGUUUUUGGGUGUUUUAAGGGUGUUUUGGGUGUAUUUUUGGGUGUUUUGGUAUGUUUGGCUGUGUUUUGUGUGUGUUUUUGGUGUGUUUUGAGGUGUUUUGGAUGUGUUUUGGGGUGUUUUUGGGUGUUUUGGGUGUAUUUUUGGGUGAUUUGGGUGUUUUGGUACGUUUAGCUGUGUUUUUGGUGUGUUUUGGGGUGUUUUGGGUGUAUUUUAGAGUGUUUUGCUGUGUUUUGUGUGUGUUUUUGGUGUGUUUGGGGGGUGUUUUGGGGUGUUUUUGCGUGUGUUUUGUGUGUUUGGAAGUCUGAGGCUGUGUUUUUGGGUGUUUUGGGUGUAUUUUACGGUGUUUUAGGAUGUUUAGCUGUGUUUUGUGUGUGUUUUUAGUGUGUUUUGGGGUGUUUUGGAUGUGUUUGUGGGUGUUUUGGGUGUUUUGGUAUGUUUGGCUGUGUUUUGUGUGUGUUUUGGAUGUGUUUGGGUGUGUUUGAGGGUGUUUUGGGGGUGUUUGGAUGUGUAUGGAUAUAUUUAAGGGUGUUUUUGGUGUGUUUGGGGGUGUAGAGGUGUGUUUGGGUGUGUGGGACAAUGUUUUGGGGGUGUUUGGGGGUGUAGAGGUGUGUGUUGGUGUGUUUGGGUGUAUUUUGUUGUGUUGUCUGUGUUGUUUGGGUCUCUCUCUCUCUCUCUCUCUGCAGGAUUCUGGGUAAUGUGGGCAGAAGUGUGCUAUAUUGUAGACAGCCUCUCCAUGCUGCUGCCGCUAGUGAUGCAGCAGGCCUACUGAGCUCCCUGCCACGCCCUCAGCCUGUUUAUAUUAGCCAGGUUAAGGAGGAAGGAUGUUGGGCUGAUGUUGGCCUAUUUAUGUGGUUUUUGGGCUAGUUUUGGGCGGUUUUUUGUCACGUGUUCCUUCUUUUGGGCUAGUUUUGGGCGGUUUUUUGUCGUGUUCCUUCUUUUGGGCUAUCAUUAUCUAUUUUUGUUCUUUUAUUUUUCAUGGUUCCAGUGACAGUUUAAGAGGCUGUGGUGGAAGUUAUUAGGGUUUUCAAGGGUGUUUUCAUGGUUCCAGUGACAGUUUAAGAGGCUGUGGUGGAAGUUAUUGCGGUUUUCAAGGGUGUUUUUAUGGUUCUAAAAUUUAACAUGCUGUAGUGGAAGUUAUUAGGGUUUUCAAGGGUGUUUUCAUGGUUCCAGUGAUAGUCUAAGAGGCUGUAGUGUGCAAACUCUCUUGUCAGGGUGUAAACUCACCUUACCUUAAUAAAAUGUUGAUUAAUA